rnacentral:tRNA from 1 species
GUGGAAGUAGCUUAACUGGCAAAGCGCUGGAUUGAAAAUCCAAAGUAGAUGGUUCGAGUCCAUCCUUCCGCG